UACGGAGGGUGCAAGCGUUAUCCGGAUUCACUGGGUUUAAAGGGUGCGUAGGCGGAUAGGUAAGUCCGUGGUGAAAUCCUGCAGCUUAACUGCAGAACUGCCGUGGAUACUAUCUAUCUUGAAUGUCGUGGAGGUUAGCGGAAUAUGUCAUGUAGCGGUGAAAUGCUUAGAUAUGACAUAGAACACCCAUUGCGAAGGCAGCUAGCUACGCGAUAAUUGACGCUGAUGCACGAAAGCGUGGGGAGCGAACAGG
rnacentral:rRNA from 1 species